rnacentral:rRNA from 1 species
AUGGCUCAGGAUGAACGCUAGCGAUAGGCCUAACACAUGCAAGGUCGAGGGGCAUCACAUGAAGUAGCAAUACGGAUGGUGGCGACCGGCGCACGGGUGAGUAACACGUAUGCAACCUGCCUUCAACAAGGCAUAACCCGUUGAAAGACGGACUAAUUCCCUAUAACACAGGGGUCCCGCAUGGGAAUAUUGUUAAAGAUUAAUCGGUUGAAGAUGGGCAUGCGUUCCAUUAGCUGGUUGGCGGGUAACGGCCCACCAAGGCAACGAUGGAUAGGGAACUGAGAGGUUUAUCCCCCACACUGGUACUGAGACACGGACCAGACUCCUACGGGAGGCAGCAGUGAGGAAUAUUGGUCAAUGGACGCAAGUCUGAACCAGCCACGUCCGCGUGAAGGAAGACGGCCCUACGGGUUGUAAACUUCUUUGUAAGGGAAUAGAGUGGGCCACGUGUGGCUUUUGCAUGUACCUUACGAAUAAGGAUCGGCUAACUCCGUGCCAGCAGCCGC